rnacentral:rRNA from 1 species
AUUGAACGCUGGCGGCAGGCCUAACACAUGCAAGUCGAACGGUAACAGGAAACAGCUUGCUGUUUCGCUGACGAGUGGCGGACGGGUGAGUAAUGUCUGGGAAACUGCCCGAUGGAGGGGGAUAACUACUGGAAACGGUAGCUAAUACCGCAUAACGUCGCAAGACCAAAGAGGGGGACCUUCGGGCCUCUUGCCAUCGGAUGUGCCCAGAUGGGAUUAGCUAGUAGGUGGGGUAACGGCUCACCUAGGCGACGAUCCCUAGCUGGUCUGAGAGGAUGACCAGCCACACUGGAACUGAGACACGGUCCAGACUCCUACGGGAGGCAGCAGUGGGGAAUAUUGCACAAUGGGCGCAAGCCUGAUGCAGCCAUGCCGCGUGUAUGAAGAAGGCCUUCGGGUUGUAAAGUACUUUCAGCGGGGAGGAAGGGAGUAAAGUUAAUACCUUUGCUCAUUGACGUUACCCGCAGAAGAAGCACCGGCUAACUCCGUGCCAGCAGCCGCGGUAAUACGGAGGGUGCAAGCGUUAAUCGGAAUUACUGGGCGUAAAGCGCACGCAGGCGGUUUGUUAAGUCAGAUGUGAAAUCCCCGGGCUCAACCUGGGAACUGCAUCUGAUACUGGCAAGCUUGAGUCUCGUAGAGGGGGGUAGAAUUCCAGGUGUAGCGGUGAAAUGCGUAGAGAUCUGGAGGAAAUACCGGUGGCGAAGGCGGCCCCCUGGACGAAGACUGACGCUCAGGUGCGAAAGCGUGGGGGAGCAAACAGGAUUAGAUACCCUGGUAGUCCACGCCGUAAACGAUGUCGACUUGGAGGUUGUGCCCUUGAGGCGUGGCUUCCGGAGCUAACGCGUUAAGUCGACCGCCUGGGGAGUACGGCCGCAAGGUUAAAACUCAAAUGAAUUGACGGGGGCCCGCACAAGCGGUGGAGCAUGUGGUUUAAUUCGAUGCAACGCGAAGAACCUUACCUGGUCUUGACAUCCACGGAAGUUUUCAGAGAUGAGAAUGUGCCUUCGGGAACCGUGAGACAGGUGCUGCAUGGCUGUCGUCAGCUCGUGUUGUGAAAUGUUGGGUUAAGUCCCGCAACGAGCGCAACCCUUAUCCUUUGUUGCCAGCGGUCCGGCCGGGAACUCAAAGGAGACUGCCAGUGAUAAACUGGAGGAAGGUGGGGAUGACGUCAAGUCAUCAUGGCCCUUACGACCAGGGCUACACACGUGCUACAAUGGCGCAUACAAAGAGAAGCGACCUCGCGAGAGCAAGCGGACCUCAUAAAGUGCGUCGUAGUCCGGAUUGGAGUCUGCAACUCGACUCCAUGAAGUCGGAAUCGCUAGUAAUCGUGGAUCAGAAUGCCACGGUGAAUACGUUCCCGGGCCUUGUACACACCGCCCGUCACACCAUGGGAGUGGGUUGCAAAAGAAGUAGGUAGCUUAACCUUCGGGAGGGCGCUUACCACUUUGUGAUUCAUGACUGGGGUGAA